CUCAAUCUCACUCUUUUACUCUUGUUUUUAGAUUUAAUUUUCUGCAGUGCUCAUCAGAACCCAACAAGAGACAGUGAAAUACUGUUGGUCAUAGCAGCCUGUCAGCGCAGCACCCUGGAUAUGCUUUGAUUUCCUGCCAAAUUAAACAAUAGUUCUGCUCUUAGGAAGUACCAGCUUCUAGAUAAGAUAUUUUCCUGGCUAGCAUUAAUUCUACCACUCUAUGUGUAGAAUUCCUGGUGAUAAGCACUCAAAGGACAAUAAGAAAGGCAAAUGAUAUGAAUUGUUGCAGAGAGCCUGAUGACAGAUUUUGUGAUAUGUUUCUGCUAACAGUUGAAAUGAAGUGGUUUUGAGCAUAGUCUCCUACAGAGCUGCAGCCCCAGCAUAGGCAGGAGCUUCUCACAGUGGUUUAUCAAACACAAAACAAAUAUUUGUUGAAGGCACAGUGUUGAUAGGGAUAUGUGGCAGGUGAACAGGCAAAUGUGAGCUUAGUUUUAAAACUCAUAAUGUCCCAAAAUCCAAAUCGUUCUUAUUGUAGCCCAACAGUUGAGAUCACAGGAUACAUCCAGAGUUAAAUGAAUUCCAAAUUCAAUGCUGAAAUAGCAGAACUUUUGAUGUGCCAUCAGCAAUGCCUAAACACACGUGUAUGCAGAUGUACUGUGUUAUCCUGAGAGGAGAAUACUCCUGAAUUUAAGAUUAUUCUUUCAGACCUUUCUCCCUCACACCCCAAAAGAUGUACAGAAAAGCUUACUAAGUACUUGUAAUCAGUAGAGAGCACAGAGAAAGGCUUUUUGCUAGUGGUUUAUUCAGCAAUGGGAGUGAUCCUCUUCAGUGUUCAAGGUUGUUUUGCUAUUGGGUUAAAUCUGUGAGUUCAGCUUACUGUUACUGUUUGGGCUAACACUCAUGCAUGUUGUCUUGCAGCUCUAGAAGGUCAAAACCUUAAAUUGCAGUAUUAAGAGAAGUGCAGAGCUCCUUGGGCUGUCCAUCACUGCCUCCACUGCUGCUGUUAAAGCUUCAGCUCUUUCCCAGCCACAGCACAUAAUAGAGAGCAACGAGUGUCCAGCCCAAGUCCAGCUGCAUGGUUACAGCUUUAGUCAGUAGAGGGAGUAUGGACACCUGGGUUAAAGCUGCACAGGUCACCCAUGACAUCCAAGAGAUUUCAGAUUUCAGCUGAAUGAACAGAUAUGUUCACAGAUAUUAUUUCGUCUCUCUUUGACUCAUUUACUUCAUCUGUAAAGAGGGGCUUCAUCUUCACACAAAAGACUGACUAUAAUCUACUGUCUGAACAUCCACUUGCCUUUGGGCUCAUGGGCAGGAAACAGGCUUUGUGUUUGUGAAAAUGGCAUAUUUCUUCCAUCAUGCAACGUGAUCCAUCUUAUUGUUUUGUAUUUGUGUGGCGUGCUGUCCCACAUUCCUUGGAAUCAUUGCUACUGCAGCAAGGUAGUUUACUUGAAAAUGUAGAACAACAGGAACUAGACUGUGCUAAUGAUUAAAUUAUACUGAUGGUUGGAGUUUAAGUAACAGCUAAUGCACUAAUUUCAGUAUAGGAAAUAUACUAAAAAAAGCAACAAGAGCUCCUCUUGAUCUUCAUAAUUAAUGAGAACUGCCAUGAUCCUUCAACAUAUUUCUACCCACACUUCCUUUUAUGUUAAGAAAUAUACAGGAACUCAGAGAAGUCAGCUGGUAGAAAGCCUUUCACAAAGCACUUUCCAGCACACUGCACAAGCCACGUGUGCUCCCCUAAAGUCUCCUGGAGCCAGAUCUUGUCCAUGUUGAAUCCUGGCCAACAGUCUCAUUUCUUCCAGUGAAACAGAACAAAGUGAGGCCUUCAGACAAGAGUGUACCCAACACACACAUCUGAGCUAUGUGUACCCAAAUAAGCACCAUCAGCUGUGCUGAGCGUUUCUGGAAGGGAAAUGAGUGGGAUUCUCAUCAUUUAACUUUAAAUAUCUCAUUUGGCUAGUUCUUAAAUAUCUCUUUAAUUUAUGGAGGGAAGGGAGCAUUGUUGGAGAGCAAUUAAUCCAUUUUAGGUGUCUGCAGUAGGAUGAGGGGAAUUCUACCCCAGUGCCUGUUCCUCUGCACUCAUUAUAGAGAAAGCCUAGACAGUUGGCUUGGAUAUAAAUGUCAGAAGAUGAGAGGUUUCUCUCACCUAUCUAAAUACAACAGAAUCUGCUAGAUAUUAGAGGCUCUGUGGUGGCUCUGGGUCAGAUAACAAAUGCCUGAAAACAUGUCUGCACUUGGCUGAAUCAUUGCAACCAUGCAAGAUCUUAAUUUUAAUUUAAAGACUGUUUAUAAGAAGUUUCUGAACUUUAGUCUUGGCCUAGAAUGAGUAAGGCCUAAAGCAGCCACUGAUCCUCAAGAUAUGGUCUUUCAGCAGCUCUGUAAUCAAAGGAAAAAAAACAGCUUUUCUUUAGAUCACUGCUUUAAUCUUGUUCCUCCCACCAAUGCUGGAAUUUUGCUUUCUGCCCCCAGAUGCAGAAGGCUCUUUAUAGUGUCAGCCUGAGUGAACAGUAAGAGCUCACGCUGUCAUUGCGGCUGCACCUUUGAGGCAGUGGAAAUCUCACAUUACUGAAAGCUGACACUAAUGAAGCUGUGCAAUAUUUUCAAAUAUAACUCCUGCCACCACUCAGUUCCCACAGUACGUAGGCAGGGAUUUCUAGGCCUGUGGUAGGGAAAAGAAAGAAGGGAUUCAAUUCUGAAGCCCUUGUUGGCAUUUGGGGUCUUGCCCCUUCACCUGGCCUUUAUGUGAACUGUCAUCUUUAAAAGGUUGCUGCCUUUGGGGACCAAGUGAGGGACUGGGACAUUAGGGUGGGUAACUUACUGGUAUGUGAGAAGUUGAGUGUCUCAGCUCUUUGCAGAGAGCUCCUGAUGCUGAAUAAAAUGGAAUGGUACUUAAA